ACAAUUCCACCGAUCAGAACAAAACAUGGUGCGCUUUGAGCAGAGGAGAACUGUGAGUAAGGUGGCGAUCCUAGCGAUAAAGGGUACCAUUUUUGAGCACAUUUAAAAAAAAGCAAACCGGAAGUGGUCAAGAUGAGAGUUUUCGUAAUAGUAUAGGGUGAUAUACUAGAAAGUCAUAUACUUCAUUUUGACCACUUCCGGUUUG